ACUACUUCUCACCCAUACUCUUAAUAACUAUCUCUUUGGUACGAAUUGAACAUGUUGUGUCGAUGAUCUACCCCAGGCCAUCACCCGUUGUUGUUUUCACCCAUUGUUUUAAUAAUUAUCUCUAGUUUCAUAGUCAGUCUUAUCAUUUAUUGUCUAAGUUUUUCAUAAUAUCACAGUUUUUUUUUUCCUUACCUAUACAAAUAUAGUAAAUCUUUAUCCUUUAAGAAACUAGUUAACACUGAUUUAAAGACAGUUCAAAUUAAUUAAACUUAUCUUCCAAAAAUCUCAACUUAUUUUGUUUUACUUAAACUGUAAGAAGCACAAAGACCAUACGGCAGUACAAAAGUGAUGGGUUCUAGUAACUAUUAUAUCCAAUCCCGUUAGCCUAUGUAUUAGGAUUUCUUACAAGAGUGAUCUCUUAUAAAAUUCUAUGUAAUGUGAAUGAUGAGACUAAGUUUGGCUGCGUUUUAGCAGUCUCUCCUUCUCAUAUUUAUAAUCAAUAACUCUUGAAUCUCUUGAAGGAAAUCUACAGCUUCUUUGCUUUCUUGUAUUUUUCAUAAUAAAGCUCUAUCAUGAGCUAUCUAUUUCUAGUUUAAUAAACUCAUCAUACAUCUGUCUUGUAAUGAAACUCCUUCAGUAACUCCCCAUGCAUGCGCACUUGUAUAUAAUUGCAUCAAUACUACUACUGCCUGCUACUGGUGAAUCCGGGUAUUCCUGCAAAUAUCUAAAGGGGUUUGAAGGGAAAAUCUACCUUCAAUACGGCUGCAAAGGGACAUCGAUGAGUACAAAAGUGAGUUUUCGUUCUUGUGUGAAGCAUAAACCUGUAAGAACGUCAUUGGAUCUUUCCGGUGCAAGAAAAAGUAACAGAGUGGAAGACAAUCAUUCUUGGUAAGUUCUUACAGGUUUGGUGCUUCCCACAAGAACGAAAACUCAUUUGAAGCUAAAACUCAAGCUCUGGAAACCAGAGAACGGUGGAAUAUUCUUAGUACAAAGACCUCUAGACUCUGGUGCACAAUCAUCGAAUGCAUCUGCCAAGAUCUUCAGUGAGAAAGAGAUCAAGAAUGCGACUAAAGGCUAUAACGAGACCAGAGUCCUUGGUGCAGGAGACCAAGGAAUCAUAGACGAAGAAGAGAUACUAUCAGACAGUGUUGAAGUUGCCAGUAAAAGCUCUCGAGUUGAGAACUGCAAACAAGUGGUUCAAAUCAACCUUCCAAACGUGGUGAGGCUUUGAAGUUGCUUUAAAGAAACACAAGUUCACCUCUUGGUUUAUGAGUUUGUGUCUGGUGGGACUCUUUUUAACAUCUUGGUCGGAAAGGUUGAAGAUUGCUGCAGAGAUGCCCAAACUCUUAUCAUACCUCCCGUGAUGUCAAGCUUGACAACACUCUCUUGGAUGAAAUGUUAUCUGAUUUUGGAGCGUGGAGUGUCUCUACAGCUUCGGCGUGGUGCAUGGAACUGGUGUCAGGAGAAAAGGCGUUGUGCUUUAACUGGCCACAUGCACAAAAUCAUCGCUUAAGCGAAGUUCUUACGGAUCCGAGGGUGAUGAAUGCAAAGAAUCACGGAGUGAUCUAUCUAGUAGCUCUGUUGGCGAUGAGGUGCACCGGAGUGAACGGAGAUGAGAGACAAGUAGCUGCAGAGCUUCGGGUCAAAACGUGUACGUAGGGUCCUCCAUCUGUAUCCGCUUUUGAAAUCGAAGAAAUCAACUAACAUAUCCUUUUGGCUGAAGAAGUUGAAACAAGCAAACUUCCAAUAUCUUUUGUUUUUUGUCUUCUUGAAUAUUGUCAAUUAUCUAAAACGUGUAUAACAAGUAAUUGGAGAAAUAGACUCUCAAAGAUAGAUAUUAAUUCAGGUCAGAGGGAAACACUUUCUAAGUCUUGA